AACAGGCACAUGAGAACAAAAAGAACUACGAAAUUUGCAAAAAGCGGAUGAAGAACAGUCCUUGGCAGAUUAUAUGAUCAGGACGCUCAAACUGAAAGAUGUCAAAUGAAAAUUUACUGCCGCCUGAUCUUUCAUCCUCACAGGUUGACAACCCCAUCAAGCCAGGAGACUGGGUCUACAUCAAGGUCAUCAAAAGAAAGAACUGGGCCAGUC